UGUCGACCCCUCGGUUUGGAGCGAUCUCUGGAGUAGUCCUCGUGUCCGGGAAAGCUCCAUGCAUCCGUUGGUUCUCCGAUUCACCAAGCCACACUACCAUCCGUCGGGAUCCCACCGCCUCAGCCUUGAGGCCAGGUGCUCUCUCUCUCUCUCUCUCUCUUUGUAGGAUUGAUUUCCGUGUGAUCGCGAGGCAUGGCUUCUCGAAUUUGGUAUUGAGCACACCGAUGGCUUUAAGGCGGAACAAGUCUGUUUCGCAGAUCUGCUAUCUUGUUCAUUUGGGAGCAGCCUCUGCAAUGGAAGAUUUGAAAGCAGCACUGAACGAGCAUGUUGAUCUCGCUUCCGAACUCUUCGAGAAGUUCUCCGCCGAACUCCGCAGCGGAUUCGGCCCGGCCGUGGACAACUUUGUGAGUUUCUUCCACGCAAUUGAUUGGAAGUUUCUGGUGUGUAUCUUGCUGAGAAGGUAAAUAGUUUCCUGGUCCCAGGAACUGGAAGAGCUUUUCAAGCCAGAACUAUUUUGAUCCUCAUGGUCUCUUUAUCUCAGUGCUGUGGUCAUAAUUGUGGUAAAUACUCUCUUCACACUUUGCCAUCUUAUGGUGAAAUGGAAAAAAGCACAACUGAGGCAUGAUGCUCGGCUUUCUCGUGGCAAACAGGAAUAGCAUGUAUUGUUCUAUGUUUUGAGCAAUUCAUACAUUGGUUUUCUUUCCAUAAGCUAGGGAAGCCUGCAAUAUUAAGCUGUGUUGCACGAUUCAUAGGGAUUUUGAUCAUUUUCUAGCGGCAUCACAGACUUGAGAACUGGAAUUGAUAACAGAACUAGCUUAGAAAUUUGAGAUUUCAAGUGAUAAA